rnacentral:tRNA from 1 species
GUUCGGAUAGCGCAGUGGAUUAGCGUGUUUGAGUUCGGAUCAAAAGGUCGUGGGUUCGACUCCUACUGUGGUCG